CAACCAGAAGCGCUGGAUCCUUCUCGAAAAGGGCAGAAAAGGAUGGAACCCAACUGGGCAUGGCCACUGCCGCUCCACACGCCGCCGGCGCCGGUUGCCCCAAAUGCCUCUCCUACCUCCUCUCCCCCGUAGCAGCCCCGUGGCUCACUACCACCUCCACCGCCACCCCCCUCCUCCGCAUUGUCUCUUCUCCCUCCUACCCGUCUCUCGGACGCCGAAGUCAGCAAUUACGCCGUCGGCACCGCCGUCCCCCAAAUCCGCGAUUCCUAUUGCCUCCUUCUCUGAUGACGCAGCCCUACUCCAGAUGUAGUGGCCCUGUCGGCAGGUACGCCGCCAACAGCGCCCCCCAACUCGAGUCUGCCACGCCUCUCCUGCAUCCUGCUCCAUGCAAAAGCCCGCCGCCUCCCCGUCCUCCUAGCCGUCUCCUCGACGCCGACCUUCGCGUACGACGGCUACACGCUACUCACCCUCGGUGGCGGCGGCGCCACCUGCUACGUCCUUCCCCACCGUCGUGCUCCACGUUUGUCCAUUCGACUUCAAGUACGAGGCUACGAGCUGCUCCCCGAGGACCUCUUCGCCGCCUGCUAUUGAAGCGCCACCCACGGGCUCCACACCGGCGUCCUCCUCCGAAUCGACUCUGUCUCCAAGAUGGCUGGUCUGGUGUGAUGUUGACGUGGAGCCCAAUAUAAAUCAGUGUGCAGGCAUAUGGGACUCACGCUGCUCAAACUACAGCCACUCACUGACAAGUGACAACACCCUCUAGAAGCCACACAAUCUUUAGAUAGAACGGACAACGGAGUGCGAGGAGGUGUGAUUCACUGCCAUUUGCCAUAUAAUAUGCUUCGUCAAGGACAAGGUAUGGGUGUGGACGAAUAGAAAAAUCUUAUAUACGUCUCAUCUAUCUUGCUUCAUCUCUGUUAGACAAUCUUGUGCUAUAUGUUCUGGUGAUAACAAAUGGAAUUGUCUUCGAUUGGUUUCAAUUUCUUAUCCAGAAUCUUCUUGCGAAUGAAACUUUGAGUAUUGGAAAUGUUGGUGUAUACCUCCCUGAACCGGUAUUUUCACACAUGCUAUGUUGCACUUUCUAGAGCUACAUCUAGAAGUACUAUAAAGAUUCUUACUCUCUCAGAUAAGCAAAAGGAAGGUCAAUCCAACUCCAUUGCAAUUUUACAAAGAAAUGGUCUACAAAGAAGUCUCAGUGUGUAGUCCAAGGUCUGAAUCAAGUACAAUUUGGUGGCUGUAAAAAAUCAUUCUAUCUAAUAGGGUCAUUCAUCUAAAAUUGUUUCCCAUGUACGGUUCUGAAGUUUGUGCAGAGGGCUUUCAGAAAAAAUAACUUUAGAUACUUGCUUUGAUAUUUUUGUAAAAAAGUGUACAUGUAUUUGAAUAGUUUUUUUGGUAGUCUUUAUUACUCUCUCUGUUCAAAAAAAAAUCGGAUGACGCCUACAGCAGGUCUCUUUGUCAUCGGCGCCCCUCCUUUGGUUGGUAGCUCCACAUCUAAUUUAUCAGGUCACACCCAAAAUAUGUUUUUCCUUGAUGUCUGUUAGCUGCAGUUUUUUUUGCAGAAACUUGGUUGACGUAAGAAAGUUAAAAGAGGCCUGGUGCAGUUUUUUUUGUGUGUAUACAUGCACACUCGCCCCUUCUAUAUACAGAUGAUUUGAGGUAUACUGUGCAGAUGAUUCCAUGGCGUGAUCUAAGGUAUGUAACUAAUUAAGUGGAACUAGCUUGUGCGUUAUGUCUGGAAUGUUUCUUCUCUUCAUGGUGACACUGUAUACAAAUUCAUUUUCUUGUGCAUAUAUUUACCAAAGCAUUCAGUUAAGCACUUCCACUUCAUUCUUGUUUUCCUGGAACCAUUUAUAAGUAUGUUCUCAAGCUAUAGUAUGUAAGCUAUUUGGAUAUAUAAAUUGCUGCAAUUUAUCUCCACUUAAGUCUGUUGUGCCUAAUAUACUCGCACGAAAUGAGCAAUGUUGACUUCCUGGAUGAAUAGUAACUGAUUAACUUAUUUCUUCUACAGCCUUUCCAAGGAAAGAAGCAAUUCUCUGUUGAAGUAGUUCUAAGGCUGGACAUAAUUAUAUGUAUUUCUUUUCACCCAUAAAAAAUAAUAAUUAUAUGUAUUAUAGACCGCAGGCUGUGCUGGAAAUUUGGGAGAUAUGAUGUCGGUGCGUUCGUCGCAUCUUUCAGAAUUCAGUGUUAUCGGUUGUGAAGCUCGCACGCCUCACAAUUGACGAAGCCAAUGUUGGAAGGACGCUGACACAUGGCACAUCGUUUUACAUAUUAGUCUAGCUUGGCGAGCCCCGGUCAUUUUGUUUGUACUUGUAUAUACUCUCUUCUGCGUGCAAGUUCUGUAUAAGUGUUUUUUUUGUGUGUGUUUUCUUUUUUCAAGCGAGUUAUCUUGGCCAGUUGCUGAUGGCAAUAUGUUUGUUAGACUAUAAUUCACUUAGAAAACUAUUUUAGCAAUAUUUAAUCAUGGUUCAUCA